GGCGCGCCUCACACAUGCAAGUCGAACGAGAAAGCUCCCUUCGGGGGGCGAGUACAGUGGCGAACGGGUGAGUAACACGUGGGUUACCUGCCCUUGAGUGGGGAAUAACCCCGGGAAACUGGGGCUAAUACCGCAUACGACCCUUCGGGGUGAAAGCUUUAUGCGCUCGAGGAUGGGCCCGCGGUCGAUUAGCUUGUUGGUGGGGUAAUGGCCUACCAAGGCUUCGAUCGAUAGCCGGCCUGAGAGGGCACACGGCCACACUGGCACUGAGACACGGGCCAGACUCCUACGGGAGGCAGCAGUGGGGAAUUUUGGACAAUGGGGGCAACCCUGAUCCAGCGACGCCGCGUGAUCGAUGAAGGCCUUCGGGUCGUAAAGAUCUUUCAGCGGGAAAUAUGAUGAAGGUACCCGCAGAAGCAGGAGCGGCUAACUACGUGCCAGCAGCCGCGGUAAUAC
rnacentral:rRNA from 1 species